UGUGCCGGGUGUCCCCGCACAGGUGCCGCGGUGUCUCACGAAGCUGUCCCUCCACAUGCAGGACCUGUGCCAGGUGUGCCAGGUGUGACAGUAUCUGUACCCAGGUGUCACUCAGGUGUGCCAGGUGUGUCACUCAGGUGUCACUCAGGUGUCACUCAGGUGUGCCGGGUGUCCCCGCACAGGUGCCGCGGUGCCGCACGAAGCUGUCCCUCCACAUGAAGGCCCGGUGGCAGGUGUGGCAGGUGUCACAGGUGUGUCACUCAGGUGUCACUCAGGUGUGCCGGGUGUCCCCGCACAGGUGCCGCGGUGCCGCACGAAGCUGUCCCUCCACAUGAAGGCCCGGUGGCAGGUGUGGCAGGUGUCACAGGUGUGACAGUAUCUGUGCCCAGGUGUCACUCAGGUGUGACAGGUGUGUCACUCAGGUGUCACUCAGGUGUGCCGGGUGUCCCCGCACAGGUGCCGCGGUGUCUCACGAAGCUGUCCCUCCACAUGCAGGACCUGUGCCAGGUGUGCCAGGUGUGACAGUACCUGUACCCAGGUGUCACAGGUGUGUCACUCAGGUGUCACUCAGGUGUGCCGGGUGUCCCCGCACAGGUGCCGCGGUGCCGCACGAAGCUGUCCCUCCACAUGAAGGCCCGGUGGCAGGUGUGGCAGGUGUAGGGCCGCAGCCCCGUGUGCGUUUUCAUGUGCUCCGUCAGGUGAUGCUUCAUCUUGAAGCGCUUGCGGCACAGCGCGCAGGUGAACGGCCGCAGCCCCAGGUGCAUGUUCACGUGCCGCUGCCGCAUGGAGCGGUGCGAGAACGCCUUCCCGCAGUGGCACACGAACACCUGCCCGCCCUUGCCCGCCCUGCCCGCGCUCACCUGGCGCGCAGGCGCGCCCUGGGCGGG